AUUUCUAUUUCGUAAAUUGCGUCAUGCGUUAUCUGUCGUUAUUCGUUUAUCUAUUAGGUAUUAAUAUUGUACCGGCCACUACCGGGUUUCUCAAUGGGACAUGACAUUCUCGACGAUAUGUUUUUAUUUAUAAAAAUGGAGUAAGUAAAAACUAAGUAAGCACUCCAAAUUCAUUAUACUACUGUCAAAAAUACGUUGCAACUAUCUUUUACUGGCGUUGCAUUCCAAACUUGUUUUUGAUAUCACAUUCCUUUAUUGGUGUUGCAUAUUGUUGUAAAAUACUAACACCAAUUUCCAUCUGAUCGGACGAAGUCGGAGUGCCAACUUCAAGUGCCAUAAUUUAACUUUUAUUUAGUCAUCAAAUAACUAUUGUUCAUGAUAUUCUAUAUGUAUAACUCAUGUACUAUCAAAUUACUAUUAUGAAAGUGGAAAUUAUUUUUUCCCAAGUAGAUAAAAUAUAAUUAUUAUUAUUUAUAAUUAUACAUUAGGCAAUUUUUUAAUAAAAUCCAUUCAAAAACCACUCACUUAACGGUACGGAUAAAAUAGACAGAAAAAUAGGAAAAUACAUUAAAACGUCAUUAACAUUAUUAACUAGUAUAAGAACCUCCAGCUAUAGCAUGGGUAAAACUAUAUUCCACAAUUUAAAUACCGAUG